CACACACUCCUGACCAGGCUGUAACAAGAUGAUUUUUUAGACCCACUUUUCAUCCAAACAAGGUGGAUCAGGAGAAAUUAGCUCGAAUGUGCUGUAGUGGAUACUUCCAAAGCCAUGGGAGUGAGGACGAUUUAAUCCCAGCAAGAUGGAGAGCUUCGAGACAUCCAAGAUGCUGACAAAUGGACCACCCAAGAAAAAGCACUUAGCACAUGUAACCUGGCAUCCUGAGCUACCACCUUUUUGCUGGCACUAAAGGAUCAUUUAUAAUCAGCCCUCCACGUGUUCUGAAAUGCGUCCUACAAUUCAUAACACAACAGACAGUGUGUACGUUUAACAGCACCCAAAGCAUUUCUUAUCUUGAAUUAAACUCGCAUGUUCAGAGGAGUGAAAAUAUCAAGAAUUGUGUUGUUGUAGGAUUCAACUUUCAGCUUCACAGCUAAUAAAAAGAACAAACUGUUUUCUGAGAUCUUGGGAGUCAGCCUAAGCCUCUUUCCGUCCUUCACUUUCCCCUACUGCGUACACA